ACGAACGCUGGCGGCGUGCUUAACACAUGCAAGUCGAACGGAAAGGCCCUGCUUUUGUGGGGUGCUCGAGUGGCGAACGGGUGAGUAACACGUAAGUAACCUGCCCUUGACUUUGGGAUAACUUCAGGAAACUGGGGCUAAUACCGGAUAGGAGCUCCUGCUGCAUGGUGGGGGUUGGAAAGUUUCGGCGGUUGGGGAUGGACUCGCGGCUUAUCAGCUUGUUGGUGGGGUAGUGGCUUACCAAGGCUUUGACGGGUAGCCGGCCUGAGAGGGUGACCGGCCACAUUGGGACUGAGAUACGGCCCAGACUCCUACGGGAGGCAGCAGUGGGGAAUAUUGCACAAUGGGCGGAAGCCUGAUGCAGCAACGCCGCGUGCGGGAUGACGGCCUUCGGGUUGUAAACCGCUUUCGCCUGUGACGAAGCGUGAGUGACGGUAAUGGGUAAAGAAGCACCGGCUAACUACGUG
rnacentral:rRNA from 1 species